rnacentral:rRNA from 1 species
UACAGAGGGGGCAAGCGUUGUUCGGAAUUACUGGGCGUAAAGGGCGCGUAGGCGGCCUGCUCAGUCGAACGUGAAAUCCCUCGGCUUAACCGGGGAACUGCGUCUGAUACUGGAUGGCUUGAAUCCGGGAGAGGGAUGCGGAAUUCCAGGUGUAGCGGUGAAAUGCGUAGAUAUCUGGAGGAACACCGGUGGCGAAGGCGGCAUCCUGGACCGGCAUUGACGCUGAGGAGCGAAAGCCAGGGGAGCAAACGGG